GCAUAAACAGGGUUUAGGCAAUUUGGCGGCUAUCUUCAGUCUUGCCUAGGGUCUUAGCUUCAAAUUCUCACUCUGGUUUCUCUCCUUCCCCAAUUUAUACAAAAUUAGGGUUUAUGAUUCUGUAAAAUUCAGAGCAGGUCCGUAUUACGAUGAAGGUGAAAGUAAUAUCUCGAUCAGCAGAUGAAUUCACCAAAGAACGAAGCCAAGACCUCCAGAGGGUAUUCCGUAAUUUUGACCCCAGCAUCCGAACCCAAGAGAAAGCUGUCGAGUAUGUCCGUGCACAAAAUGCCGCAAAAUUAGACAAGAUUUUUGCGGGGCCGUUUGUUGGAGCAAUGGAGGGACAUAUCGAUUCCAUUUCCUGCAUGGCAAAGAAUCCAAACCACUUGACAGGAAUAUUUUCUGGUUCAAUGGAUGGAGAAAUUCGGCUCUGGAAUUUAGCUUCCAGGCGGACAGUUUGUCGGUUUCCUGGUCACAAAGGUGUCCAAGGUUUAACAGUAUCUACAGAUGGGUGCGUUCUUGUUUCUUGUGGAACUGAUAGCACUGUUAGGCUCUGGGGUGUACCUGUUUCUAAUCUCCUGGAGGAAGAUGUCUCAUCUGAUAAUAGUUAUACACCGCGGGAAACUUAUGUUUGGAAGAACGUGUUUCGGUCUGUUGAUCACCAGUGGAAUUCUGAUCGGUUUGCUACGGAUGGAGCUGGAGUAGAUAUAUGGAACCACAACAGGUCUGCACCAGAGCAGAGUUACCAAUGGGGCACAGACACAGUUGUAUCUGUUCGAUUUAAUCCUGGAGAGCCAGAUAUCUUGGCAACAUCUGCAAGCGAUCGUAGCAUAGCACUAUAUGACCUGCGCAUGGGAAAACCAACAUCAAAGUUUAUAAUGAGGACGAGAACCAAUUCCAUUUGUUGGAACCCAAUGGAGCCAAUCAACUUCACUGCUGCAAAUGAGGAUUCCAACUGUUAUAGCUUUGAUUGUAGAAAGUUUGGUGAAGCUACGUGUGUUCACAUGGAUCAUGUUUCUGCACUGUAAGAUAUUGAUUAUUCUCCAACUGGUCGAGAAUUUGUCACUGGGUCUUAUGAUAGAACUGCGAUGAUUUUCCCGUAUAAUGCUGGUCACAAACGGGAGAUAUAUCAUACGAAGAGAAUGCAAAGGGUGUUUUGUGUCAAGUACAGCUGCGAUGGUAGUUAUGUUAUUUCCGGGAGUGAUGACACUAAUCUUAGGCUUUGGAAGUCUAAAGCAUCGGAACAAUUGGGAGUUCUUCUUCCAAGGGAACAGAAAAAGCAUGAGUAUCAUGAGGCUGUCAAAAACCGCUACAAGCACCUUCCCGAAGUCAAGCGUAUUGUGAGGCACAGGCACCUACCAAAACCAAUAUACAAGGCAGGUAAGCAAAUUCGUGAACAAAAUGAAUCUCAGAGAAAGAAGCACGAGAAGAGGAAGGCCCGCAGUGCCCCAGGAAGCAUCGUUCAAGAGCCAUUACGUAGAAGAAAAAUCAUCAAAGUCGAGUGAAGAGUGUGGGUUAAUGUUGGCAUAUUUGUGAGCUCUAUACUACCAGUGCCUUCACAGUUGAAGCAUUCCUCACCAUGGACCUUGGUGCGGUGUCUAUAGUGGCUUUAACGAACGAUAGUUUAUAGAGUGAAGUCAACAUAAGAUGAUGCGGCUUAAUUGUGGCCGUUCAAAUAAGACGGGGCCAGAGGGAAGGGAAAUUUGGAGGACAGAGAACUACUCCAUUAAAGAAUUGGGUGAUGGGUAGGGAAAGGAUGUUCAUUACCAAAUACCAAAGCAUAUGUAUCUUGCUUAUUAUCUCCAUGAGUUCUCAUUUACGGAUCACCAUUGCAAAAAAUCAAUUGAAUCAGGUUAAUUAUGUAUGAGACUAUUUUCCUUCUUUAUUGAAAAAAAAAAACUGGGGUAAAUGACUGCUUGCCCAUCAAGUUUGUGUUUAAUUGCAAUCGCAUCAUUAUUUUCAAAACAUUACAAUCUCAUAUACAAACUUACAAUUUUAUUGUAAUGUUUAAAAGAUGAUGUAUGAGAUUGCAAUUGAACACAAACUUAAAAGAACAAAUUGUAACUUAUCCCAAAAACUAAUCUAUCUUGGAAAUGAAUUUCCUUAAAAAAUUGAAUGAUUUAGAUCAUAUAAUUACAAUGUGGAGUUGCAUACCCCAAUGGAUAGAGUUUGAGCAUUUAAACUAAAGAUUGGAGGAUUCAGGCUACAUCACAUAAUAAGUUAUCCAUAAUAAUUUGGUUAUGAAUUCGUUAUAAUAAAGUCAAACAUAAAAUUUCUCACUUUUAAAUAAAAAUAAAUAAAAUUAGACCAUAUUAAGUGGUUUAAAAUAAAAUAAAAAAUCAUGAGAACUUGGUUAUUUGUCAAAAAAAGAGAAAAUUAUCAACCUGGUUAAUGGCUUGGCUUUUAAACUGGACCACAUAAAAAAAUCAUCAACAAAAUACAUAAAAGUCGCAGGCAAAUACAAAAUAAUCAAAACCACACGACUGUUCCUGUGUGUCUUCCAUGGCUUUCACAGCUGCUCCUCCUCAGGCUUCACACACUAUGUUCCUCAGAAGCCCACCAGCAACAACAACUACAAGAGCAAGAACAUCAACCACAACAAGAAGAACAAGAAGCCAUGUGAGUGUACACGUGCACGCAUCUCAGGGGCCGAGCAACCGCGAGAGGGCCCCGCCAGGAGUUGAUACAAGAAUCCAUUGGGAAAAUGACGAUGAAGGUUGGAUUGGAGGAAGCAGCAGCAGGAAAGAGCAGGCGGAGCAAGAGCCGGAGUCGGAGCAGCAGAAGAGUCAGAGGCAGAGCAAUCUCUUGGGAGACAAGUUUGCUGACUUGCUCAAUGACUCCAUUUCUGAUUCCCAUUACCAGUUCUUAGGGGUAUCUGCAGAAGCUGAUUUAGAAGAAAUCAAAGCCGCAUAUCGAAGACUAUCCAAAGAGUACCAUCCGGACACCACUUCUCUUCCCCUCAAGACUGCGUCCGACAAGUUUGUGAGGCUACGAGAAAUUUAUGAUGUGUUGAGCAACGAAGAGAGCCGUAAGUUUUACAACUGGACCCUCGCUCAAGAGGCUGCAAGCCGCCAAGCGGAAAUAAUGCGAAUGAAGUUGGAGGAUCCUUACGUGAAAGCAGUAGAGACGUAUAAACCUGUCCCGGACAUGGUUGAUCGUCUUGGUGGAAAGAACAUGGCGCUGGGCGAUCAAGCGAUGACGGCCCUCACCAUCGAUGUUUUGAUCAUCGUUUUUGCUAUUUGUUGUAUCACAUAUGUCAUCUUCUUCAAAGAGCCAUACUACUAGUACUACAAGCUAGCUUGACAAUCAAGUAACACAGAAAAAAUAUACUACAAUGUACAUUUAAACUGCUUCUUUCUUCGCUCCCCA